rnacentral:tRNA from 1 species
GGGGUUGUAGCUCAGCUGGUUAGAGUACCUGCCUGUCACGCAGGGGGUCGCGAGUUCGAGUCUCGUCAACCCCG